AACACAUACGAAGACAAAUGCCGCUCUCUAUCUCUCUGUCUUCGCUGCGUUUUGCUUCCGAAUCUCGCAGUGGCCAAAUUGUGAUUGUAGUUCAGCUUUUAAUUCUUGAUAUGUGGUUGCCCACAAAAAUAAAAAGCCAGUGGUUUUGAAGACUCCAGAAAAUUCCCCCCAGAUCUUCAGAUGAAUGAGUUUUUAUUGCACGGUGAUGCAAAAUAAUGCAGUUCCUGCAUGAAGUUGCGGCUGUGCCAUGCCAUCUCUCCGUGGUGGAGACGUCGGAUCUUGGAUAGAGUUGGUUGUUUGCAGGCCUUGUGUAGCAGAGAUCAUAGAGUUAGUAGUUGACUUGAGAUUGUUAAGUACUUUUUUCUGGCUAAUCGGAUCAUAGCUCCACCAUUCAAAAUGCAGAGCAAUUCUGAAGCCCUACCCUUGAGAUGGUUUAAAUACAUAUAUCGGAUAUUUUGUCGAGUAUUUAAUCUUUUGGAUCCAGUUUAUGCAAGUGGGCAGUGUUCUUUCUGAUGUCCACAAAUAACUUAUUAUACAUCUGCCCAUGGCUCUUGUGGAAUCGGUA